GCAUAUUGCCAUACCACCCUGAAUGAACCCCCAAGAUCUGGGAAGCCAAAGCAGGGUCAGGCCUGGUUAGUACUUGGAUGAGAGACAAAGCAUUGAUCUUGAUGUAACCUGUG
rnacentral:rRNA from 1 species